GACGAACGCUGGCGGCGUGCUUAACACAUGCAAGUCGAACGGAAAGGCCCUGCUUUUGUGGGGUGCUCGAGUGGCGAACGGGUGAGUAACACGUGAGUAACCUGCCUUGACUUUGGGAUAACUUCAGGAAACUGGGGCUAAUACCGGAUAGGAGCUCCUGCUGCAUGGUGGGGGUUGGAAAGUUUCGGCGGUUGGGGAUGGACUCGCGGCUUAUCAGCUUGUUGGUGGGGUAGUGGCUUACCAAGGCUUUGACGGGUAGCCGGCCUGAGAGGGUGACCGGCCACAUUGGGACUGAGAUACGGCCCAGACUCCUACGGGAGGCAGCAGUGGGGAAUAUUGCACAAUGGGCGGAAGCCUGAUGCAGCAACGCCGCGUGCGGGAUGACGGCCUUCGGGUCGUAAACCGCUUUCGCCUGUGACGAAGCGUGAGUGACGGUAAUGGGUAAAGAAGCACCGGCUAACUACGUG
rnacentral:rRNA from 1 species